rnacentral:rRNA from 1 species
GACGAACGCUGGCGGCGUGCCUAAUACAUGCAAGUAGAACGCUGAAGGAGGAGCUUGCUUCUCCGGAUGAGUUGCGAACGGGUGAGUAACGCGUAGGUAACCUGCCUGGUAGCGGGGGAUAACUAUUGGAAACGAUAGCUAAUACCGCAUAAGAGUAGAUGUUGCAUGACAUUUGCUUAAAAGGUGCAAUUGCAUCACUACCAGAUGGACCUGCGUUGUAUUAGCUAGUUGGUGGGGUAACGGCUCACCAAGGCGACGAUACAUAGCCGACCUGGGAGGGUGAUCGGCCACACUGGGACUGAGACACGGCCCAGACUCCUACGGGAGGCGGCAGUAGGGAAUCUUCGGCAAUGGACGGAAGUCUGACCGAGCAACGCCGCGUGAGUGAAGAAGGUUUUCGGAUCGUAAAGCUCUGUUGUAAGAGAAGAACGAGUGUGAGAGUGGAAAGUUCACACUGUGACGGUAUCUUACCAGAAAGGGACGGCUAACUACGUG